GUCAGACUCAUGAGAUCUGGUCUCGUGUUUGAAAGUAAGGUUCAGUUUCCUUCAUUUUCUGGUCUCUCAUUCUGUAGAGUUACAACAGCAAGAUGAAAGUUAACAGCUUGGAAGAAGCCAAGCUCAUCUAGAAGUCAAAACAUCACCAUAUGUUAGUACUGCAACACAUGCAAUGUAGACAAAUUUCAUAUUGCUGUGAGUCUUAAAUCCUAAUCUACAGCAUACAUGGACCUACCCAGUGCUCCAACUGUUUCUGAAAAUGGCUGGUUUCCAGUCUUUGUUACUUUAUUUGCUGAACACCGUGACAGAUGUCAGCUAGGAGUGGAAAAAAAUGUUAACUUGGCACGUUUUUGAGGAGCUUAGAUAAUGUUUGUGUAAGUCUUUCAGGGUAAGUGAUAAUAGCAUAAUAAUCUCAAUGUAUGAGCCUGUAUGGUAAGCAUAACCUAUUCAUGCAAGAUUCUGUAACAGAUAAUUGUGUAAAUUAUCUUAAUAUAUACAUGCUUGAGAUUUCACUGUGUAUCCUUCUCAGUGCAUUUGCAGGCUCUGGUGUAAGCUUUGUGACAGGUCAAAGCCUCUGCCUCUUUUACUGAAGUGGUCCUACAAGGAAAAUGUAUUAGCAUCACAAGAUAGUACUUUGUCAGUUUAGCAUUAUUUGCCAGCAAGUAGCACUCAAAUUAGUACUUGUAAAUCACAGUAGUAUCAUCCUCAGGUUCUUGUAGACUGUGAUUCCAGCUCACACAUGGAGCUUUGGAAAUAGGUUAGACUAUGGUACUUCAAACCCCAUAGAGAACUCCCAGAUCUACUCAGAAGAAUAUUAACCCUGAAAUUAGACUGACCUGAAUAAAAUGGGCUCUAAAAUGCUCAUAAUCAUCUAUCUUAAAAAAUAGGGGGGAGUAAUUUAUCUUCAUCAAAUUCACAUUGAACUUUAAUCAACAAAAAUAGUGACAGUGAGUAGAAACUUACUUGUCCUCUUACUACUUACAGUAAUUCUAACUUUAACAAACUAGAAAUUCUAAAAUUCUAAUUUUAACAAGGGCAUUGUGCACCUUUUGUCACACUUGUUCUAUAAAAAUUACUCUUUCUCAUUAAGCAGGUUAAUUUUCAUUGCCAGCAAUUAUUGAACGAUGGUCUGGUUUUUUCUUUUUUUUUUUUUCAGGUAUACUUAAUAGCUAACUUUCCCCUGUAUUCAGUGAAUAAUAAUAAAAAACAAAAUACUGUAAAUAUUAUCCCACUAUUACUUUUCCACUGCAACAGCAGGAAUGCCUACAAAAUGAAAUGUGGGAGAAUAUGAUGUAGACAAUUGCUGGGGAUGCAGACACUCCUCCACGCAACUCCUCUGUUGGAACAAUGGCCUGUAGUAUAAAAGUUUGUCGACACUGUGUUGCUUUUGGCAGAUGACGGUUCAGCCAGUGCAGCAACCAGACAGACUGGAUACUGAAGGCCAGGAGGAAAUGUCUUCAAAAGCUACAGAAGAUACAAUCCUGUAAGACAGAUGACAUGCCAUCACCUUAAGAGAUGGAAAGUCUUGAUCUGCUCCCCUAUAACAAUGAAGCCAUUAACUAUAUGCAAAAAGGUGGAGAAAACAAAACCUUGAAUAUCCUGGGAGAAGUUCUCUCUGCUUGUACUUAGUCCUUAUAGCCAUUUGGGCUCUCUUUAUAAAAGUCCUUUUUAAAAUUUUCUGUAUGCCUAUGAUGAGUGCAAGUAUCUGAGAUGGGCCAGAUGAUGGGUUAUUAGUUGAAACAUUAAUUAGGAAGAGGACAGUCAAUCCUUCACUCGUUACUCCUCUUUUAUUUAUGUGCUACUGUGUUUUGAGUGUACCACUUGGUUAAUAUGAGGGGAAAAUGGAUGGGUCAUGUUUUGAGUCCAGCUAUUUAAUUUGUUACUGUAAGACUAAAAUUGUUCUCAUGUAUCUCACCCAUGAUUUAGUGAGUUAAGUACUUAAGUGUUUUUAACAAUUUCUGUAUGAAGUGAUCUCAAAUACUUUCAGUAAAAGCCUCAUGCAGAAGUCUGUGAUAUAUGAUUAGUUUUUCCCUCAUGUUGCAAAAAAGGUGGGUGGUUAGUCUUCAACUUUUUUAUUAACCACAUAAUUCCCUUGUUUUAGAUGGCCAACUAUUUAUUUAAUAUAAUUGAAACCAGUCUCCUUUCUUACGUUUACUGCUGUAUCAGAUGCAGGUUUGUUUUCAUAUUAGAUUUGUAUUACUGCAGUAUUCAAAUGGAGUAAUUCCUGAUCUGAAAUGUACAUCUCCUACAAGAAUUUGUCCUUUUCUUAAUUACCUUUCUUGAGAUAAAUAGAUCUAGUAAGAACAAACAUGAAGGGGUAUCAUGUAAUGAAGUUCAUGCUUCCUGCUGUUGUACCUGGUAAUGGGUGAAGGAUUGCAGCUUGGAAGGGGAGAUUGGGAAAGUCUUCUGCUCAGUUCUGAAAUCUGGGAUAUACUGAAAGGUAUUUUCUAGCAAUUACUGACAAAGUGAUGUGCAAAGGAGGCUUAGACAGGAAAACAUGCCUCUGAGCAGAAGAAUGCUCAUGUAGAGCAGGAGAAAAAAAUAUAAACCAAAUUAAAUGUGUAUUUAAAAAAACCCUAAUCUGUUUAUACUUAGUAUUUAAACAACUACAUUAAUAAGACUAGACUACUGGAAAUAACAUUAUUUACCUUUUUUUUUGUGUAUGUACUCAUCACAGAUUUUACAGAUUAGAAUACACAAGGUAAGUCUCCUCCAAAAUUACAGUACAGAGUAUUGAUUCUGUUUAAAUAAAACACCAUUGCCGAUUUGAAACAGGUUCUGAUUUAACAUACAUCUCCUAUGGAAAACAUUUCUGCACUCUCUCAUGUAUAUACUUAUAUAAUCAGAGAUACAGAUAUAGAUAUGUGUAUAUAUAAAAACCACCUUAAAUUGUCACUUUUGGGGCUUUUUGAUUACCAAAAAUUGUCAGAGCAUGGCUGUCUUCUUCUAUACAGGUGUAUACAAUUUAUUGUGAAUCCGAGUUUUUAAGUCACAAACACUAUUUUAGUAGUGCAUUUUAAUAGAAGAGCAUCUGCACUCGGGUGAUCUGACCAGCAGAUGUACUCUAAUAUUUGCAAUGAUGUUUUUUGCAUAUUAUGAAAAUAAUGGGUUUGUACCUUAUUGAUGCUUAAGGUUCAUCCCUUCUGUUUCUGUAAAUAUUCCUUUUCCACAUAAAGCAACAAUGUUCUAGUUCAGGGAACAUUAAUGAGACAAGUUGAUUCUGUCUCCAAGUGCCCUGCUUUGUAAUCUUCCAGAAAUACAUUUCUUAAUAAUUUUUGUUUUUACUACUGUGAUCCUACAACAAGAUUUACUAUAAUUCUUAGCUACAUAAACAGAAGAAUGCCAACAGUAGAGGCAGAUGAAUUGUGUAGGGCAUUGAUGGAACCUUACUGAAAAUGAUUCAGUGAAAAGCUCUAGAAAUAGUGACAGUAGAAAAUGUAUCACUGGUAUGUGUUUAGAAUCUAUUUUAGGUUGACUUAUUCAAAGAAGAUACCAUAAUAUGCAGCUGAACCUGAGAAUAUUUAAAAGGCUGGAAAGGAGUGUGUUCAUCACGGAGGAGUACACCCAAUAAUAACCUACUUGCUGAGGGAUGAUUAGAUGCUACUUUAAAGGUUUGACUACUGCUUAUGUCUCAAAUUCAAAACCAGUAUUUCUAUUUUGUAAAUGGACAAGCUACAGCACAAGGUACUUUUUUCUAUUUCUUCCAAUUCUUAUGGGAAACUUUUUUUUCUUGCCUUCUGUCUUUCUUCCUUCUAGAAAGGCCUGAGUACAUGUUUAACUUACUAGCCUUAAUUUAAAAAGAGGUGUGACAGUUCGCAUUAAUAAGAAUACAUAAUUUGAAAGCAAAGUAAAAAUAUUUUUUGUAAGAUGCCUUUUCUAAUUCCAAAGGAAUUACCUAAAUCAAAGUAUGCUGAACAGUGUUAUGUCUCAGUGUUUACUUAAACCAAGAGUCAGGUCCUUUGUUAAAAUCAGUAUGACUCAAAUCCUUAGCUUACUGAAAGAAAUGCAGUUUAAAUUUUAGCUAAUUAUUUUAAGGAAGUGUCUAGAGAUACUAACUGAGACCAAAAGAAUUUUCUUUUCAAGCUGUACGUGAUAUGUGGAAUACAACAUCCAGAGUAUAAGGAGAGAAUUGUAAUGUCCAGUAUUAGAGAAUUUAAACAAGGCUAUUUCUUUGCACAACUGCCCUAAAUUAAAGGGUAUACCUGAAGCAUCAAGAGUGAAGAGUCAGUAACAGUGCUGAAAAAAGCAUAGCUUGAAACAUAUAUAUAUAUAAACAAAAUAAACACUAGAGUUAAUUAUAAAAGUGGAAGUGCUUUUGGUUAGACCUCCCCCCAAAAAGGUAUCCCUCCCUGUAUUCUUGGUCCUCUAUCAAAUGGCUGUUCACAUUCUAGUCCACUUUAUUAAUCCCUCCUUUUUCCUCCCCUACUACUCUGCUUCUUUUCAGUUCAGUUGUUGCCAUGUUGCUUGUUUACAUAGCAUUCCAUAUGAAAUACCUCACAACAAUUUCUACUUCAUACCUAAAGAAUUCCCCCUUAAUUGCAGCAAUUCUUAAUAUUAUCAAAAGCAUGCUAAACACAACAGGUUAAAACAAGAAAUGAAGACUACAACUAAUACUGCAGAAAAAAUCUGUGUAGGCAGCAGUCACCACAGAUGGGAUUCAUUCAGUAUACUGCUCUAAGUUCUACCACCCACAUAAUCCCCAUUAUUUCCUAGCAAACACACUUCAUUAGCUCUGAAGAAAUCUCUGUUGUCUCUCCCAGCAGAUCACUGAAGGUACUGUCAUGAUACGGAUAUAAAAGUUAAAGGUCAUAUCACUUAAAAACCGUUUCUUUAGGAUCCUUUAGAAGGUCAUAAUAAUUAAGCAUGUUUUCAUUUGAUGACAACCAACAAUAUAAUUUGAUGAACCACUACUAAAUUUAUCCUUUAUAAGUAAAAGUAUUCUUCCUGCUAGUAUUGAGCAUUAGGAUGUCAUUAUCCAGUGGUUCUCCCUGUUCCCUAUUUGUUUGUUCAUUUGUCCCAAUUAAUUAAACGAUAGUACAAACUCAAGAAAGCGAUGUGCUGUCCCAGAGGAAGGAAGCAAGGCUCUGCCUUUGCAGGAGCACAAGCUGUCAUUCCUGAUUUGUAUACAGGGUGGAGUUCUGCAUUCUUUUUAUUGCUCCGACUGUUGACACUGAUGACAGUUCUUGCAGGGGAGACAGUGCUUUGAUCAUGUGCGUAGCUGCGGAUGAGGAGGAAACUAGUAUUGCCUUAUUACAAGGGACACAACAACUUAGGGAACUUGGCUGAGUGAAUGCAAAGAUAGAAAUUCUGAUUCUUCUGCCCUUUUCCUGCAAACCCCCCUCCCUCCCCCAAACUGUUGUGCUACAAUCUAGUUAUAAAGCAGCUUUGCUGUAAACAGAAUCAGAUGGAUCCAAAUUCAAAUGGAAAAAAAAACCCCAACAAAUGCUUGUUUUGUUAUUUUAGAGGGGGAAAAACCCAUAAAAUUAUGAAAAAUCACCUGAUCUGAUUCACAAAUAGUUGUAGCAGCACAACUGUGAGGAGCAAGGCACUGUGGUGAGAGUGCAAACUCUACAAGCUGGUGUAGCUGCCAGAGUACUCAUACUGUUAAACCACAACUAAACACGUCAUAACACCCUUAGCAGAAUUUAAUUAAAACGUCCAAAUCAUCCAUUCUUGUGGUGGUCAGUUCAUUUUGAGUUAGGAAAGAGUAAUUGUUUCCAAGUACUUUGCCUGCAGCAGUGGAGUAGACUACACAAGCCAGUCUUAUUUACGAGUUUUUAAUAGAUUACCGAAUCAGCCAUGUGGCUUUAUGUUCUUAAAAAUAUUAGCUGCUAAAUGUUAGUUGCUAAAGGUCAUAGAAUUGCAGUUGGAAGAGUUUGCUGUUCAAGCACUAUCUUGUCACUUCUAGUUCCUCCAUUUAAUGAAUUGUUAACUAACAUAUUUAAUGCCUCAGGGAAUCUCCAUCUUACUAUUCUUUCCUUCCUAGUAACUUUACAGAUUUCCGUGAAUGAAACAAUAGAGGUUUCACACUGAUUUCCUCCGUUUCAUUUCAGGCAGCUGGUGGUGAUGUCACACACAAUCACCUGUGUCUAACAAGCACCUGAUACUGUUCCAAAGUACAAGAUGUAUGCACAUACCAGCUCUGUAUCGGCAUUUGUACUACAAACAGUGGAUUGCUAUCAUGAUUCAGAUAAACAGACGACUAGUUCAGUUGUUUUAGUUACUUUGGAUCAUUUCCUGCAGCUUUACUCAUCCUCCCAAUUAACAUGAAUACACAUUUGGGUUUUUUCCAAGUUAGCCAUUAAGGAGGUUAAGUAGGUUGGGCCUUAUGACUAAUGUUUCCUUGGCUCUGACUGUAUUUUGCUGCACCCGUAUUCUAUCAUACUUUAUUAGCAUGCAGGAGAAACUCUGAGAUUCCUAAUUGUAGGACAGCACUUGAAAUGUUCGAGAAAUCCCCAAGCUCCAAAAUGAGAAAUCCCAGUCAUAAGUAAGACCCAGCACAUACAGAAAUAUUCAUACUUUAAAGAGACAUCUUGCAUUAGUAUUGCCAUUAUUAAUACACUUUCCUCCUGCUGAGCUUUCAUGUUCUGUAUUGAGUAAAAAAAGAAUCAAUUCCCAGUGCCACAACAAAACUUAGUCAAGAGGGUGCUGCAGUAAUUGGAUGAGGCUCUUCAACCCCUGAAGAUGUUUGUUGUUCUACCAACAUGGUAAAGGCAGUAAACAGCUUUUGUCAUUCCUGAUGCCUUGUCACAGGCAACAGAUUAAAAAUGCAGUUGCUUAACUAUUUCACUACAUAAACUUUAAAUGUAAUCCUCUUUUAGAAAUGUCAGCAAUAUAAAGAGGAAGCAGCUAAAGGGAAGCAACAUGAUCCAUCAAUGUGCAGUAAGCAUAUCCCUCACCAGUGUUUAGUUGUGAAUCAUGAUGAAUAUUACAUCCAUGGAUUAAAGUCCUGAUCUUACAUAGUCAUCUGCAUAGAAAAUGGGUCUGUUCAGGAGCUGCAUAUUGUCUGUAUAGACACUUACCUGGAACAAGAAAAUCUUUUUAAGUUGGCUUUAGAAAUCACCUUAGCUAAAUUACUAUAAAAGAAAAAAAGGCACAUAUUCUACAAUAAGAAUAUUCACUUCAAGGGUGGGUACUCCUUGAAAUGUUUAUCUACCUAGGGCUGUGCUCCAGGUGCUAGUGCUGCAGUGAAAAUUGAUUACUCUUUCCACACCUCACUGUAUAUAUGAAAUGGCUCUUACAAUGCCUUGGUUUGCUUUGCUCUAUUGUGUUUUACAUUACUUCACCAUAGAAGAGCAGGAAGUACAGAGAUAGUACUACAGGUGUUACAUGUUGUGGGUGUGUUGAUUUCUACUUUUGAAUCAAGCCACUGACUGAAUUUCCUCCUCCUGUAUGCUACAAGUAAAAAACCAAAACAAAACAUCUAUUUAAACAUAAACACCAGUCUUACUUCCCCUAUCUUUUGUAGAUAUUUGUGUUAAGGAUCAAAAAGGAGGGAAUAUUCUGUAGCCUUCAUAGAAAUUCCUGACUGAGAAGCACCAAUGAAGAACCAGUUGCAUAUGGCAUUGUUUCAGUAAAAACUGUCAUUUUUAUAACCCACGCACUGUUGCCUGUAUGUACUUUCUUUCCCUACUAGAAAAUCAAGCAAGUCAGAUGGAAAGAAGCGUUAAGACUUGAAAUAGGUUAAGUUUACCUAGAAGUGCAGUUAAGUGUGCUCCAAGGGCAGGUCAGCAGAAGCUCUUCUUGCUUUCCAACCCAGAAGAUCACAAGAGCAUGUUGAUGUACCUCAGUGCCAAUGGUCUGGCUAAGGUGAAGCAAAUCCUGCAGUGAUUAAUGUUUUUUUCCUGGUCUGUUUGCCUGAGCUCUGUAAUUGAAAAUUGCUAAAGCAGGUCAUUUGAAGUAUGUGUGGUAUCUUAGGAACUAUAACUUAAUGAUCAUAAAUUUGCAUUACAAAUGCUCUUUUAGCUCCUUACUUGGCAUAAAUUUUCAAUCUGAACUGCUUAUUAAGUAUACCACAACUCACUCACCCUGUAAUUACCACUGGCCUAAUAUCUGUUCAUUUAAGUUCCAUUUUCUUCUAGUUUUUAUUCUCUAUUCCCUUCUUUCAGAUGCUUUUGAUUUUAUUUAAAAAAAUCAAGUAGUGAGUUCCGAUUUCUCAUUCAUUUUUCUGCAGUGAGGAAACAGAAAAACCCAUAUAGAAAUUAGUAAACAAUCAGCUAAAACAUAUCAAGGAAAGGUUUAACAAAGAACACUGUGGAAGGUGGAAUAAAUGGCAAAAAUACAUGAAAGACAGAUGUCACCUUUUCAAAUUCAGUGAUGCUAUACUUGCCUUCUUUAAAAAAAGCUUUCAGAGAAGUAAGACUGGUAAUUUUAGUCUAUUCAGUAGGUACAGCUAUUAAGCAUAAAUUUUGAAGAAAUUAAAGGCAACAGUGUUUGGAAUGUUUACCAUCAGCAGGUAAGAUUAUCAAGUUCCUGAAUGUUCAAAUACAAAACAUUUAAGCUAUGGCCAGAUACUGCAUUCAGGAGAUUGAAAAGCAAAACUUUAAUCAAGCUGAAAGAUUUAAGAUGUUUCAGUGAAAUAGUUAAAAAGAUGUACGUAAGCAUUAAGUCAUUAAAAUGACUUAAGCCUUUUAAUCUUCUCAAAGGCAGAUUAGGCUACAUUUAAACAAAACAUGACAUGAAGUCUAGGUUUGGUUUUACACACUAUGUAUCCUUGGUACAGAAUUCAGUAUGUGUAGUUCUGAACACUGAGCUUCGUAAGAUAGCAUAUAUUCCUACAGUUCCCAAAAUAUACUUGCUAUAGAGAUCUUUCUAACAGCUAUCUGCAAAAACCACUAAUGACCCAUCCUAAUAAUACAUGUAUUACUUCUACAUUUUCAGGAAAAAGGAAAACUCUUUGAAGUCAGGUAAAUGUUUGUGCUCAUACCAAGUGCUGCCAGUACAUGAUUUCAUUAUUCCCUUUAAAUUUUGAUAUUUUCGUAAGCUCCAAUGGCAAAUAAAAGUCCAUGUAAUACCAGUUUUCUUAUACAAUAUGGGCAUGUUAUUACUUAUUCCUUUGCAAAAUUUGUGACUAAAGAAAAAGCCUUUCAGAAUAAUUCCUUAGCUCUAUUGAAUAUGAAGAACAAAAAAAUAUAAUUGUGAAUAAUGCACUUUUAAAAAAUAUCUGUAAAUGUUUUCACUGGUGUUUUCAUAACAAUAAAACCUUUGCUUUUAAACCUUGCAGAACUAAGAACGCUUUAAAAAAACAUAAGGUUUGGGAUAUAAUUUUUGGUACCUUGAUUACUGCACCACAAGUUGACAAAAAGCUGGGAAUUAAGUCCUCAUACUUGGCAUCCUAUUAAAUGACAUUUUAAAAGUAAAUAGCCAAAAAAGCUAUUAUUAGGGGGGAAAAAGGAAUCUAAUUCUAUGAAGAAGUUAAGUUAUAAAGAUUUGGUCCCUUUUAAAGUACUGUUGAAAAAGUUUAACAUGGUACUUAGAAGAACUGUAGAACUUAUUCUAAAAAUUAGGUUAACACUGCAGUCCAGCAUAUAUUCAACAUCUUUAAUUACUUUUUGCUCAAUGGAUUUAUUCUUUUUCCAAUUACAGCAGAUGGAUCAGGUACAGUUCUAGCAUUAAUUUCCCUAUGGUUGUAACUUGCUUCAUCUGCAGUAGAGAUGAGGAACCACCAAAUUCAUAUU